CAUCCCGCGGCGGCUGCGGUUGCCUGGGCUCGCCGGGAGCCUGGGGCUGGGGCCUCGGGCGCUGCGAGGGCGGACGGUACUGCCCAGCUUGCAUUGCACCAAAGGGUACCCGGGGGACCUCAAUACCACUUCCAGUAGGUCUGUUAUGCCUGGGGGGUGCAGUCCAAUAUUUUUCAUUUAUGCGGGAUAUUGGGCUUCCUAAAUCAAUGGCACGCAAGUCAGUGACCCAGGCGAUAGAUUUUUGGAGUUGAAUGCAGCAAAUCACUUCUCGGUCACCCAACCAACGUUCUCUCGGCCGGGUUUCUAGCUCAGCGGUGGGUUCGGGCGCUACUGGCAGGUGUCUCAGCACCUUUGCCCCUGUGAGGGCCUCUGAUUUGAAGGACCACAUAUCUUUAAAAAAAAAAAAAAAGCAAAACAGAACAAAACAAAACACGAUAGCCUUAGAAGUUAAAAACUGUGCACUGGGGGCACGUGGGUGGCUCAGUGGUUGAGCCUCUGCUUUUAGCUCAAGUCGUGAUCCCAGGGUCCUGGGAUCAGUCCCCCAUGGAGCUCCCCGCAGGGAACCUCCUUCUCCCUCUGCCUGUGUCUCUGCCUCUCUCUCUCUGGAUCUCUUAUGAACAAAUAAAAUCUUUUUUUAAGAAAAGUGUGCACCGUUUCUUUCAGAGAUUCAGGGCAGGAAAAUGUACCCGCCUUAGAAGCCUUUCUCAGUUAUAUUUUACAAGAUAGAAAGAAUGCAAAUACCCACAGCCUUGCUAAACUGGAUCGAGUCUCCUGGUACUUUUAAGAUGAACGUCUCAAUAGCCUCUGUCAUCACUGCUGCAGCGUCUUGGGGAAUAAGGACAGGACAGCGGGACUGGGGUUGACUCAGACAUACCAACCAAGGCUCCCCAUAUCCCUGCGGCGCCACCGCUGAGCACCUGCCAGCCCCCUUCCCCAUGUUUACUGAUGCUAUCACUCCUGAAAGCAAGUUAUGCGUGGCAAGCGGCUCCCAAAGAGCUGAUGGAAAAUCGGAAACUGGACAGAAGAAGGAGGAGGAGCCUGAAAGCAAUGCUCGGUGUGCCCUGUGUGAGUUACUCAGGCGUCGGAGAGAAACGGAAGCACAUGAGAAAAAGUGAGGCACAGCCCAGAGAACUUGCGGAGACCACAAAGCAAUCUAUAAUCUUCAAGUCUGGUCUCCACAUAGAAUAACAGGUUUCUUCUCCAUUCUAGUAAGAUGCAACAGAUGAUUGAAAACCUUCACGUAUAACUUGGUCAUGCAAUUUUAAAACAUGCUUUCUCCAAGGCAAAGGCUGACUGGCUCAGUGAAGAGAGCAGCCCCCAUCUUCCCAAAAUCUGACUGAAGCUAAAAAUGACAUAAAUCACAUAGAACUAUAAUUUGCAAAUUCACUGUGUGAAGUAAUUAAUUAAAGUAUGGCUGAGUUUUAGGAGUUGGGACUUUGAUCUGACACGUGGAAAGAAAUAUAGUGAAACUAGUCGGGAUCAGGCUGUAACUUUAGGGCUUAAAUGGUUUUCUAUGCUAGUCACAAGUUUAAUUACUUCUUUUUUUUCCCACUGACAGUCCCAAAUUAAAAUAAAUGGACCACAUCGAGACA
ensembl:lncRNA